rnacentral:misc_RNA from 1 species
UUUUUUUUUUUUUUUUUUUGAAAUGUGGCCAUUAUUUUUUAGCUUUUAAUUUGAUAAAGCCAUUGGCCAGUUAGUCUUCCCUCGAGAAUAUAUUUGUAGACUUCUUUUCAUGAAGUGAUUAAUACUCAACUUGCACCUUCAUGGUUACAAGUCCCUGUGAUAUUUAUCCAUUGAAUCUCAGAUUUUGAACUUAUACUUCGAUGGUAUUUGCAAGGAACUUUGUUCAAUAUCAGAAUUAGAAGUGAAAAUGAUGGGACAUUCUUUUGCAACAAAAAGCUUUGUUUGGAUGAUUUUUUUUUCUUUUUG